rnacentral:rRNA from 1 species
GACGAACGCUGGCGGCGUGCUUAACACAUGCAAGUCGAACGGAAAGGCCCUUCUUUUUUGGGGUGCUCGAGUGGCGAACGGGUGAGUAACACGUGAGUAACCUGCCCUUGACUUUGGGAUAACUUCAGGACACGGGGGCUAAUACCGGAUAGGAUCUCCUGCGUCAUUGUGGUGGUGGGUAAGUUUCGGCUGUUGGGGCUGGACGCGCGGCUUAUCAGCUUGUUGGGGGGGUAGGUGCGUACCCAGGCUUUGACGGGUAGCCGGCCUGAGAGGGUGACCGGCAACAUCGGGACUGCGAUGCGGCGCAGCAUCGUGCGGGAGUGAGCAGUGGGGACAAGUCUAAAACGGGCGGACGCCGUAUGCGGCAAAGCCGCGCGCGGGAUGAAGCCCUUCCGGUUGUAAACCGGUCUCGCCUGUGACGAAGCGUGAGUGACGGUAGCGGGUUAAGAAGCACCGGCUAACUACGUG